UUGGUUGAGAAUUGAGAGAGACAUGGAGGUUUUAAGAAUGGGUUUUUAUGGAGUUUAAAUAUGAUAAAUGAGGAAGAAGAAGAGGGAAAAGGUGGAGUUCUUAAAAAUGGGUGGGGAGGAAACAUAUGAAGUGGGAAACGUGGAAAAAGAGAGAAAAGAUGUCACAUUACCUUGAGAAUCGUCCCCAAAACACGUUGUCGGGCGUCU
rnacentral:lncRNA from 1 species